GUUUUAAUAGUUUAAUAAAAACAUUGGUCUUGUAAAUCAAAAAUAAGAUUUUUUUUCUUUUAAAACU
rnacentral:tRNA from 1 species